AUUCUAAGGAAGGAUUACUCUAUUUUACAAAGGAGGAAACUCAGACUCUAAGCAGUCAGGUAAAUCAUGCAAGCAGUGCCUCUCUGCAAGAGGCUCUGGGUCUGUGUUGCUGAAUUGGCCUGUGUCCUCAAAGCACGUUCCAGCUUUCAAGGGGAAAAUGACAAGGUGGAAGACGAGCAAUGGACUGAAUUGCCUAAGUAACCCAGGCUAACAGAAGCUCCAUCUACUUGCGGCUACAACAGAAGAACAAGUGGCCUCCAACGCCGUGGUAGUGGCGGAAGAGAGAUCCUGAAGAAAUCUCACAGGCUUUUUGCUUCUCAACAUGGAAAGUAGAGAUACAUGUCUUUUCUACCCUUUUCAUUGGCUGUAAUGAGUCACAUGUCUCUACUCCCCUUGAAGCUCAGAAGUGCAGUCUUUGUGUCCAAAGUGUCAGAAGAACUGGAUAUUGAUGAACAUUAGUAAUGCUUACCAUGUAUAUUAACCCAGGUGUACACAGAGCCAUGUAAAAUUUGAGUCUCGCACUAUGAAGUUCCAAUCCAG
rnacentral:lncRNA from 1 species